rnacentral:rRNA from 1 species
AUGAACGCUGGCGGCGUGCCUCAUCCAUGCAAGUCGCGCGAACAGACGAGGAGCUUGCUCCUCUGACGUUAGCGGCGGACGGGUGAGUAACACGUGGAUAACCUACCUAUAAGACUGGGAUAACUUCGGGAAACCGGAGCUAAUACCGGAUAAUAUAUUGAACCGCAUGGUUCAAUAGUGAAAGACGGUUUUGCUGUCACUUAUAGAUGGAUCCGCGCCGCAUUAGCUAGUUGGUAAGGUAACGGCUUACCAAGGCAACGAUGCGUAGCCGACCCGAGAGGGUGAUCGGCCACACUGGAACUGAGACACGGUCCAGACUCCUACGGGAGGCAGCAGUAGGGAAUCUUCCGCAAUGGGCGAAAGCCUGACGGAGCAACGCCGCGUGAGUGAUGAAGGUCUUCGGAUCGUAAAACUCUGUUAUUAGGGAAGAACAAAUGUGUAAGUAACUAUGCACGUCUUGACGGUACCUAAUCAGAAAGCCACGGCUAACUACGUG